rnacentral:lncRNA from 1 species
CCGCCUUUGUUCCCUCUUCUCCCUGAGGCUUCUUGGCACUGCCGGCAGCCAUGUUGCCCCGCUCUGGCUUUGUGAGAGGCAAGUCCCAGAGAGCCCUGGGGACAGCCUGUGCUCCUAGCCCGCCUACCUGCCCACCCCAGGCUACAGCCCGGUGAACGGAACUGUGAUGCAUGAAAUGAGGGGGGAAAGACCGGUGAGGUCAUGCUGGCCUUGUUAACUGUUGGCAAAAAAGCAGGCAACAGAAAGGGGAAUGUCAGAUUUCACCUGUGAAUUAAUUUACUUCGUGCAGUGCUUGGAUUAAGCUGGCAGAACAUGAGAACCACAUCAGCAUGAUCAAAGGCAGGCAAGGAUAAAACAUGUGAUGACCCCAACUUUCUAUGGCUUCCCCCCAACACAACUUGGGUGGCAGGACAUAGUGUCAAAUUGCCACCAUGUAUUUUAAGAAAGGACUCAUAUCUUUUGUUAAAGAGUCUGUAUCGAAACAUAAACAAACAAAAACCAGGCACCCCAUAAUUAGGUGCGUAAUUAUAGCCUUGAUGUUCAGGUGACUUGCCUGGCCAGAGCACCUUAGGAGAAAGGAUUGACCUUUAUGUUUUUGUGGUUCUGUCACAGAAUGUGGUGAUGCUCUUCUAUCUUUAUUUGCUGCAAAGGACCAUAGCAGGAUUUGUUGUCUGCUUGAAGGUUGAGCUGGCCUGAACUACAUACAUAGUAUUAUAAUUGGGCAGCCUCAGUUACUUUGAUAAUUAUAAGAUUCUAUUUUCAGUGUGCAAUUUUUCAUUGGUUUUUACCCAGUACUUGCAUGAUAGGCAUUAUUCUCCCUAGUUUGUAAAUGUUAUAGGCUAAAUUGUCCCUCAUCCCAAAUUAAUGUUAAUGUCCUAACCCCUAGUACCUCAGAAUGUGACUGUAUUUAGAGGUAGAGUCUUUGAAGAGUUAAUUAAAUUAAAAUAAAGUCUUUAGUGGGGGCUGUAAUUCAAUCUGGCUGGUGUUUUUAUUAGAAAAGGAAAUUAGGACACAGAAAGGUACAGACAGAAGACCAUGCAGGGAGAAGAUAGCCAUUGCAGGGGCCAAGGACUUGGCCCUCUGAAGGCUUGCUGAAAAAUCAACGUGUGAAAAGCAG